CAGCAGCCGCGGGAAUACGUAGGUGGCAAGCGUUGUCCGGAAUUAUUGGGCGUAAAGCGCGCGCAGGUGGUUUAAUAAGUCUGAAGUUAAAGGCUGUGGCUUAACCAUAGUACGCUUUGGAAACUGUUUAACUUGAGUGCAGAAGGGGAGAGUGGAAUUCCAUGUGUAGCGGUGAAAUGCGUAGAUAUAUGGAGGAACACCGGUGGCGAAAGCGGCUCUCUGGUCUGUAACUGACGCUGAGGCUCGAAAGCGUGGGGAGCAAACAGGAUUAGAGACCCCGGUAGUCCCUGUCUCUUAUAAA
rnacentral:rRNA from 1 species